rnacentral:lncRNA from 1 species
UAAUUUAAAAAAAAAAUUUAAAUGGAUUAUCCGAACACACAAAGAUCCUAACCAAACCCGCAAAGAUCUGAAUUGAACAGAAUCAAGCCAAAUCAAAUGGUACCCGAAUGUCAAUCCCUAAUCAAAUGUACAAAAUGGUUAUUGUAAAAAAUAUGUAUUGUUUAUAAUAUUUAAAUACAACAUAUUAAAAAAAAAAACUCAUCCCUCGCAGGGCGCGGAUUAUCAUCUAGUCUCUC